rnacentral:ncRNA from 1 species
UCCGUUAUACUAUUUCUCGUGGUUCAAUCCACCCUUUGACACUUCCUCACUUUGGUCAAAGCAUAUUACACUCGGGUUUCGCCGAUAAAGGAGAGUUUAUU